rnacentral:tRNA from 2 species
UAUGUAGCUCAGUUGGUUAGAGCACCGCACUCAUAAUGCGGGGGUCACAAGUUCAAGUCUCGUCAUAGCCACCA